GAUAGAGGCCUACCAUGGUGGUAACGGGUAACGGGGUGUUAGGGCACGACACCGGAGAGGGAGCCUGAGAAACGGCUACCACAUCCAAGGAUGGCAGCAGGCGCGCAAAUUACCCAAUCCCGACACGGGGAGGUAGUGACAAUAAAUAACAAUACGGGGUUCUUUCGGAUCUCGUAAUUGGAAUGGGUACAAUUUAAAUCUCUUAACGAGGAACAAUUGGAGGGCAAGUCUGGUGCCAGCAGCCGCGGUAAUUCCAGCUCCAAUAGCGUAUAUUAAAGUUGUUGCAGUUAAAAAGCUCGUAGUUGAAUUUCGGGGUUAGUAGGUUGGUCAUGCCUCUGGUAUGUACUGGUCUCACUGAUUCCUCCUUCCUGAUGAACCGUAAUGCCAUUAAUUUGGUGUUGCGGGGAAUUUGGACUGUUACUUUGAAAAAAUUAGAGUGUUUAAAGCAAGCUAACGCUUGAAUACAUUAGCAUGGAAUAAUGAAAUAGGACGUUCGAUCCUAUUUUGUUGGUUUCUAGGAUUGACGUAAUGAUUAAUAGGGAUAGUUGGGGGCAUUAGUAUUCAAUUGUCAGAGGUGAAAUUCUUGGAUUUAUUGAGGACUAACUACUGCGAAAGCAUUUGCCAAGGAUGUUUUCAUUAAUCAAGAACGAAAGUUAGGGGAUCGAAGACGAUCAGAUGCCGUCGUAGUCUUAACCAUAAACUAUGCCGACUAGGGAUCGGA
rnacentral:rRNA from 1 species